CCCUUUGUGUCCCCCCGUGUCCCCCCGUGUCCCCCCGUGUCCCUGCCCGUCUCCGGAGUGGCACUGCCGGGUCCGGCCCGGCCCGCGGGCUGUUGGAAGGCCCGGCGGGUCGCUGGCACGGGAGCCCCCAUGGUCUGGGGAGCGGCACGUAACGGGAAUCGUUCCGGAGAGCGGCAGGAGCGCUCCCUGCCUCUGCUGAUGGACCGGGGCGGCUGCUGGGACACUGGGGUGACUGCUGGGACACUGGGGAUAAAGCAGCCUCAGCCAUCUCCCUCUAUUGCAGCAGUUCUCUGCAGAGCACAAGGAUGCCCGUGGAUUUUGUAGCUCAUCUCCAAAAUCCCAGCAGAAGAUCCUGUGGGCAGUUUAUCACUGCAGCAGCUCUCCCAGCUCAGUUCCUCAGGCGUGGCUCCCCAGGGAUGCAGCUGGCAGGAGCAGGAAUGGAGGCUCCUUGGCAGAAGGCUCCAGGUGUGACAGGAAACACAAAGUGAUCCUGGGCUGUUGCCUUGAAUAUGGAGUUCCCAAAAUGGUGACUGAAAGCAGCAGGGCAACUCGGGAGGGAGGAGGAAACUGAAGUCAAGAGGAAAAGGCAGAAAGGUGUAGGAGGGCUUUGAGAGGCCAGGCUGGGCUGUGGCAGCCCUGGGAGCCCGGGGGGCUCAGAGCUGGGCUGCAGGGAAUUCCCUGGGCUCCACCCUGGGAACGUCUGCCAGCCCCACGGAUCCGCUGGGCACCGCUGCUCCGGAGGGUAAAGCCCUUAAAGAGGAACAUUUUCCUGUGGCUGGGUUUGAACAGCCAUGGAAAGGAACUUCUGCUCUUAUGGGCUCCUCUGUGGCCCUGUCAGUGCCUCCAAACCAGCGCUUUACCUCAGGUAAUUACAAUACACCACCUGCCUGGCUGCCUCGCUUUUCCUGUUCUUCAAAACUCCUGGAAAUCCCAGCAAGCAGCUCCAUCCAAACGAUGGUUUGGCAUUCAGUUGGGUGUGAUGCAUUACCAUGUACAGAAAUGCCAUCAGGGUGAUUUAUUGGUGGUGACUGAUUAAAUGCAACUGGUAUUUCUGUACUUUUAAUGUAGAUUUUAUAAAUGUGAUAUGUAGAUUUUGUAAAUGUGAUGUCCGUCAUUUCUAUCUGUGAAGUAUAUUUACUUCAUAAAAUAUGUAAAUAUA